rnacentral:rRNA from 1 species
CAGUCGCCGCGGGAAUACGUAGGUCCCGAGCGUUGUCCGGAUUUAUUGGGCGUAAAGCGAGCGCAGGCGGUUAGAUAAGUCUGAAGUUAAAGGCUGUGGCUUAACCAUAGUACGCUUUGGAAACUGUUUAACUUGAGUGCAGAAGGGGAGAGUGGAAUUCCAUGUGUAGCGGUGAAAUGCGUAGAUAUAUGGAGGAACACCGGUGGCGAAAGCGGCUCUCUGGUCUGUAACUGACGCUGAGGCUCGAAAGCGUGGGGAGCAAACAGGAUUAGAUACCCCUGUAGUCCCUGUCUCUUAUACA